rnacentral:rRNA from 1 species
AGAGCAUAGGGUGGAUGCCUUGGCACCAAGAGCCGAAGAAGGACGUGGUCAGCUGCGAUAAGCCAUGGUCAGCCGCAAGCAGGCAAUGACCCAUGGAUUUCCGAAUGCGGAAACGCGGCACGUUAACAGCGUGUCAUCAUGUCAUGAAUAAAUAGUGACAUGAGGGGAACCCGGUGAACUGAAACAUCUAAGUAGCCGGAGGAAGAGAAAGAAACAUCGAUUUCCUUAGUAGCGGCGAGCGAAAGGGAAAGAGCCCAAACCGAGGGUCUACGGACGUUCGGGGUUCGGACUUGCAAAAAUCGAAGUACUUAUAGACGAAGAGGUUUGGAACUUCCUACCAAAGAGGGUAACAGUCCCGUAGUCGAAAUGAGUACAAGAGGGCGAGAAUCCAGAGUACCACAGGACACGAGUAAUCCGGUGGGAAGACGGGGGGCCCACCCCCCAAGGCUAAAUACUACUUGGUGACCGAUAGCGUAUAGUACCGUGAGGGAAAGGUGAAAAGAACCCCGGGAGGGGAGUGAAAGAGUACCUGAAACCCUAUGUUUACAAGCAGUGGGAGCGAGAGCGACCAUGUACUUUUUGUAGAACGGGCCGGCGAGUUACUGUGUGCAGCGAGGUUAAGUUGUUAAGCAACGGAGCCGAAGGGAUACCGAGUCUGAAAAGGGCGUAAAGUUGCAUGCAGUACACCCGAAACCGGGUGACCUAUCCAUGGACAGGAUGAAGCGACGGUAAGACGUCGUGGAGGUCCGAACCACACGUACGUGAAAAGUGCGGGGAUGAGCUGUGGAUAGCGGAGAAAUUCCAAUCGAACUCGGAGAUAGCUGGUUCUCCCCGAAAUAGCUUUAGGGCUAGCCUCGAUUUAGAUUACCGGGGGUAGAGCACUGAAUGGGCUAGGGGGCCACAAAGCUUACCGAACCCUAUCAAACUUCGAAUACCGGAUAAUUGAUGAUCGGGAGUCAGACAGUGUGAGAUAAGUUUCAUUGUCGAAAGGGAAACAGCCCAGAUCUACGACUAAGGUCCCAAAGUUCAAGUUAAGUGGAAAAGGAUGUGCAAUUGCGCAGACAACCAGGAUGUUGGCUUAGUAGCAGCCAUUCAUUCAAAGAGUGCGUAAUAGCUCACUGGUCGAGUGAUUGUGCGCCGAAAAUGUAACGGGGCUAAACUUGACACCGAAGUCUAGGCAGAAGGAAACUUCUGGGUAGGGGAGCAACGUGUACGGGCAGAAGCAGAAGCGGAAGCGACUGUGGACUGUACAGGAGAGAGAAUGCCGGCAUGAGUAGCGAGAGCAAAGUGAGAAUCUUUGCCGUCGAAAGCCUAAGGUUUCCUGAGGAAGGCUCGUCCUCUCAGGGUAAGUCGGGACCUAAGCCGAGGACAAUAGUCGUAGGCGAUGGACAAUCGGUUAAUAUUCCGAUACCGCCGAGCAACCGGAUGCAGUGACACAGAAGGAUAGGCAGAGCGUGGCGAUGGUAGACCACGUCCAAGCAGUGAGGCUGUUGUGUAGUGAAGUACGCACAACGUAAGGCUGGGCUGUGAUGGGGAACGAUUACGAUCGGUAAGCUGCUGAAUUCACGCUGGCGAGAAAAGCUGCUACGAAGCGAAGGCGCCCGUACCGCAAACCGACACAGGUAGGCGAGGAGAGAAUCCUAAGACGAGCGGGAGAACCCUUGUUAAGGAACUCGGCAAAAUGACUCCGUAACUUAGGGAGAAGGAGUGCCCAGGAAUGGGCCGCAGAGAAUAGACCCAAGCGACUGUUUACCAAAAACACAGGUCUGUGCGAAGUAGAGAUACGACGUAUACGGGCUGACACCUGCCCAGUGCCGGAAGGUUAAGGGGAAAUGUUAGGGCAACCGAAGCAUGGAACUUAAGCCCCGGUGAACGGCGGCCGUAACUAUAACGGUCCUAAGGUAGCGAAAUUCCUUGUCGGGUAAGUUCCGACCCGCACGAAUGGUGUAACGAUUUGGGUACUGUCUCAACAAGGGACCCGGCGAAAUUGUAGUAUGUGUGAAGAUGCACAUUACCCGCGAUAGGACGGAAAGACCCCGUAGAGCUUUACUGUAGUUUAACAUUGGAUUCCGGUAACAUAUGCACAGGAUAGGUGGGAGGCGGAGAAGCAGUGAUUUCGGUUGCUGCAGAGCCGACGUUGGGAUACCACUCUUGUGUUACUGGGGUUCUAACCUGUGGCCGUGAUCCGGCACAGGAACAGUGUUAGAUGGGCAGUUUGACUGGGGCGGUCGCCUCCAAAAGAGUA